rfam:Kwoniella heveanensis BCC8398 unplaced genomic scaffold supercont1.5, whole genome shotgun sequence.
GGCUCUAUGGCGCAAUUGGUAGCGCGUCAGAUUCCAAGCACUAAGCCGCCUCAUGAUUUAACCCUUUCGAGGGUUAUUGUUGUGAGGCACAAUUCAUAUCUGUAGGUUAUCCGUUCGAGUCGGGUUAGGGUCA